UUGUUGCUGGUUCUCUAGGGAGCAUGUGCACGCCUUGUCAUCUUUAUAUCUCCACCUGUGCACUUUUUGUAGACCUUUCAGGUCUAUGUUGCUUCAUUUACCCCAAUGUAUGUUAUCAGAAUGUUGUGCCUAUAUAAUAUAUACAACUUUCAGCAACGGAUCUCUUGGCUCUCGCAUCGAUGAAGAACGCAGCGAAAUGCGAUAAGUAAUGUGAAUUGCAGAAUUCAGUGAAUCAUCGAAUCUUUGAACGCACCUUGCGCUCCUUGGUAUUCCGAGGAGCAUGCCUGUUUGAGUGUCAUUAAUAUAUAUAUCAAACUUCUCUUGUUGAGUGGUUUGGACAUGGGGGCUUUGCUGGCCUUUUAAAAAGGGUUCAGCUCCCCUGAAAUGCAUUAGCAGAACAAACCUGUUCAUUGGUGUGAUAACUAUCUACGCUAUUGAAUGUGAGGGGCAGUUCAGCUUUCUAACCGUCCUUGGAUAAUUCAUCAUUAAUGUGACCUCAAAUCAGGUAGGACUACCCGCUGAACUUAAGCAUAUC
rnacentral:rRNA from 1 species